CUUUCUGCAGAAAGUAAACUAGCCUUGCUGAGAGAUCCUUUGUCUCAGUGUUGAUUUUUGCAACACUAAGCACCCGUUCCCAACAAUUUGGUGGCCCGUAGGGGAUUAACAUUCCCCUCUGGGACAGUCUUUGGUCCUCUCUCAUGGGGAGGUGCCCCACUGCCCAUUGUAGCAGCCCCUGGAGGACAGCCAGGACCUACCCGGAGCAAGGAAUAUAGUUGGAUUCUCAGCAACGCAGGGAAAGAGAGAGGCUUGCAGGACCACAGUGACCAGGUGACUCCAUGCACGGGCCAAGGUCAAAGGUCUCUUAGCACAGGCCACCACUAGAAUUUC
rnacentral:lncRNA from 1 species